AAAAAGGUCAAAGCCAUUUAGGUCCCUCAGAGCAUAUCGUGUACCACACGCGCAUCUUCUGCGAUUUUUUAUGAGAUUUUGUUUAUGAAAUGACAAAAUUAGCCUCGCACAAAUAAACAUUAACUCAGUUGGGUUUAAUUAUGAAUAAUCUGAUUUCGUAAGGAUCAAUUUGUAAUUUAUAAAGUUCUUUUAAAAACCCUAAUUUGCACCAUAAAUCUUCAGCCCAGUCCCAAAUUAGCCGCACCAUCGCCGGCGCCGCUGUCAUCGCGGGAUUGGGCUUAUUCACCGACGCUCUGUCUCUGCUAUCCUCUCUUCUUUAUCCUCUCCACCAUUUAGAUCCAAAACUAAGAUUUGCAGGUUCUGAAGGUGCAAGAAACAAGAAAAUAGCGCUGCAAAUUGCGGCCGCGAUAAGGAAACUGAACAACAGCAGCAGCGCUCCGGCAGUCGAGAAAGGGGCGGCGACGGUGGUGGAAGGAGGGUGAGCAGCUAGCAGAAGAUAUGAAUCUCUAAUUAUUUGUAACUCCAAUUUAUCUUCUGCUAAUACUAAUCCCAGACCGGAAAGAUGGUUUCCGUCCAUAAAAGUACGAAAGCCAAUGGGUGGUCGGGGGCUGGCGGCGGCGGUUGGGAAGAAGAUGAAGAUGUUUUUUUGGGGCAAGAGUCGUGGGGUGGUUUGACGGGUAGAAGAUAAUGUCUCUUCUUUGUUUUUUACUUUUUUUGUUCUUUUUUAAUCUAUUUGUUUAUAUUUAAUAAAAUGAACUGCAUAAAAUUUCAAAAAAAAUAUAGAAAACUUCAAAUAAAAAAA
rnacentral:lncRNA from 1 species